UUGGAAAAAUUCAUUAUAUAUAACGUUAUCAAGGGUUAGUGAGGAUAUGGGAGAAGAAGAAAUGAUAUAUAUGUUGGUUGGAGUGCAAAUUGAGAUCAGGGCUGUUGUGGGAGGGGUUAUAUAAAUUU